rnacentral:rRNA from 1 species
AGUGAACGCUGGCGGUAGGCCUAACACAUGCGAGUCGAACGGCAGCAUAGUAAGAGCUUGCUCUUACGGGUGGCGAGUGGCGGACGGGUGAGGAAUACAUCGGAAUCUACUUUUUCGUGGGGGAUAACGUAGGGAAACUUACGCUAAUACCGCAUACGACCUACGGGUGAAAGCAGGGGAUCUUCGGACCUUGCGCGAUUGAAUGAGCCGAUGUCGGAUUAGCUAGUUGGCGGGGUAAAGGCCCACCAAGGCGACGAUCCGUAGCUGGUCUGAGAGGAUGAUCAGCCACACUGGAACUGAGACACGGUCCAGACUCCUACGGGAGGCAGCAGUGGGGAAUAUUGGACAAUGGGCGCAAGCCUGAUCCAGCCAUACCGCGUGGGUGAAGAAGGCCUUCGGGUUGUAAAGCCCUUUUGUUGGGAAAGAAAAGCAGCAGGUUAAUACCCCGCCGUUCUGGCGGUACCCAAAGAAUAAGCACCGGCUAACUUCGUG